AGUGAACGCUGGCGGUAGGCCUAACACAUGCAAGUCGAACGGCAGCACAGUAAGAGCUUGCUCUUACGGGUGGCGAGUGGCGGACGGGUGAGGAAUACAUCGGAAUCUACUUUUUCGUGGGGGAUAACGUAGGGAAACUUACGCUAAUACCGCAUACGACCUACGGGUGAAAGCAGGGGAUCUUCGGACCUUGCGCGAUUGAAUGAGCCGAUGUCGGAUUAGCUAGUUGGCGGGGUAAAGGCCCACCAAGGCGACGAUCCGUAGCUGGUCUGAGAGGAUGAUCGGCCACACUGGAACUGAGACACGGUCCAGACUCCUACGGGAGGCAGCAGUGGGGAAUAUUGGACAAUGGGCGCAAGCCUGAUCCAGCCAUACCGCGUGUGUGAAGGAGGCCUUCGGGUUGUAAAGCCCUUUUGUUGGGAAAGAAAAGCAGCAGGUUAAUACCCCGCUGUUCUGACGGUACCCAAAGAAUAAGCACCGGCUAACUUCGUG
rnacentral:rRNA from 1 species